GACGAACGCUGGCGGCGUGCCUAAUACAUGCAAGUCGAACGCUGAAGGAGGAGCUUGCUUCUCUGGAUGAGUUGCGCACGGGUGAGUAACGCGUAGGUAACCUGCCUGGUAGCGGGGGAGAACAACUGGAAACGAUAGCUAAUACCGCAGAAGAGUAGAUGUUGCAUGACAUUUGCGUAAAAGGUGCAAUUGUAUCACUACCAGUUGGACCUGCGUUGUAUUAGCUAGUUGGUGGGGUAACGGCUCACCAAGGCGACGAUACAUAGCCGACCUGGGCGGGGGAUCGGCCACGCUGGGACUGGGACACGGCCCAGACUCCUACGGGAGGCGACGGUAGGGUAUCUUCGGCAAUGGACGGAAGUCUGGCCGAGCACCGCCGCGUGGGUUGAGGAAGUUCUCCGUUCGUGAAGCUAUGUUGUAAGGGAAGGAAGGGUGUGAGAGUGGAAAGUGCACUCUGUGACGUUACCUUAUCAGGAAGCAACGGCUAACUACGUG
rnacentral:rRNA from 1 species